UUUAUUUUUUCGAGCAUUUUGGUGCCCGAAUUUUUUUUUUUUUGAGUCUAUUUAUUUUUAUAUUGGGUCUAGAAUAAAUAAAUAGGUUAAUUAGUUUUUAUUUUAAUUUUAACUAUUUUAAUUAUUUAACUUUAUUCAGUUUUUAAUUUAAUAUUGGGUUUCAAAAUAAACUUAGGCCCAUUAUCAUUAACCUAAUUUGUUCCUAUAUAUAUUUACUAGCAUGACUGAUAGAGAGAGGCAAAAAGACAGAACAAAAAAGAGAAACUGAGAGUGGCUGAUCUAUAUUAUCGUACACACAGUUUGAUACAUGCGGUUUGAUUAAAUAUAUCAGGAUAUCGCCGUUUUGCUUUUUUUAUGCACAUAAGUAUAACAGGUAUAAUAAUUUGGUU
rnacentral:lncRNA from 1 species